rnacentral:rRNA from 1 species
AGUGAACGCUGGCGGUAGGCCUAACACAUGCAAGUCGUACGGUAGCACAGUAAGAGCUUUCCACUACGGGCGGCGAGUGGCGGAAGGGUGAAGUAAACAUCGGACUCUAUUUUUUCGUGGGGGGUAACCUAGGGAAACUUACGCAUAUAUGCCACACGACCAUCGGGUGGAAUGAGAGGCUCCGCGGGCUUUGGGUGAAUGCGUGGGCCGUUGGCGGGUUAGCUGGUUGGUGGGGUAAAGGCGCACCAAGGCGACGAUCCGUUGCUGGUCUGAGCGGGUGAUCCGCCACACUGGAACUGAGACACGGUCCAGACUCCUACGGGAGGCAGCAGUGGGGAAUAUUGGACGAUGGGCGCAAGCCUGAUCCAGCCAUGCCGCGUGGGUGAAGAAAGCCUUCGGGUUGUAAAGCCCUUUUGUUGGGAAAGAAAAGCAGCAGGUUAAUACCCCGCUGUUCUGACGGUACCCAAAGAAUAAGCACCGGCUAACUUCGUG